rnacentral:rRNA from 1 species
GUGCUUAACACAUGCAAGUCGAACGGAAAGGCCCUUCGGGGUACUCGAGUGGCGAACGGGUGAGUAACACGUGGGUGAUCUGCCCUGCACUUUGGGAUAAGCCUGGGAAACUGGGUCUAAUACCGGAUAGGACCACGCGCUUCAUGGUGUGUGGUGGAAAGCUUUUGCGGUGUGGGAUGGGCCCGCGGCCUAUCAGCUUGUUGGUGGGGUAAUGGCCUACCAAGGCGACGACGGGUAGCCGGCCUGAGAGGGUGACCGGCCACACUGGGACUGAGAUACGGCCCAGACUCCUACGGGAGGCAGCAGUGGGGAAUAUUGCACAAUGGGCGCAAGCCUGAUGCAGCGACGCCGCGUGAGGGAUGACGGCCUUCGGGUUGUAAACCUCUUUCAAUAGGGACGAAGCGCAAGUGACGGUACCUAUAGAAGAAGGACCGGCCAACUACGUGCCAGCAGCCGCGGUAAUACGUAGGGUCCGAGCGUUGUCCGGAAUUACUGGGCGUAAAGAGCUCGUAGGUUGUUUGUCGCGUUGUUCGUGAAAUC